rfam:Bursaphelenchus xylophilus, Ka4C1 (inbred line), WGS project CADV01000000 data, contig: scaffold00422.3
CAAACGGCCCUCUUUAGGGCCACAAACUUUUUUUUAUUUAUUGUUAU